UAAAUUCAAAACUAGGAAAUUCUUGCGAUACACGUGGCAGAAACCCAGGUGAAAAGAGAACACAGAAAACGUGGAAACGAAGUAAAUGAUGGGUAAAGUUUAGUUUGAGAUGAUGAUAUGAAGAAGCUGAGCUGGCUGCAACGGUCAGGAUUCACUGACAGCAUAGUUUUUACGUACAUUGAAUUUACUCUAGUUCUUUCCACUUCAAUCAUUGGCCUCUCUGUUUAUAAAAGGUUGUUAUUUCUGUCUUUGAACCUUCUACCUUUAUUUGAUUGAGCUUUGUAUUUGUGUUUGUGGGUGGAGUCGUCGAAGGAGAAGCAAGAAAGAGUAAAAUCUUGGUUUUUGUUCAUAAAAAGAUUUAAGUUUUAACGAAAAGGGUGUUUUGUGUGUUGUUGAAAAUUGUAUUUUGAGUGUGUUUCUGUCUGAAGAUUGGGAGGAGGAAGAAGGGUUUUGAGUUCUACAUAGAAUGGUUUUGAUGUGUGAUUUUUUAAUCCAUGGUGGAGGAGAUAAAGUUGAAGAACGAGAGUGGGAGAAAGAGAGAUAAAUCAAAAGCCAUAAGUUCUGGCAGAAGUAGAGAGAAAUUAAGCACUUAAAAGAAAGAUACAAGGAUUUGUUCAAGUCUGCUUUUGCUGGGUGAUUGGCAAUAUCUGCAACAGUAGUAAGUGAUCCAAUGGUGGUAUCAGCCCCAGAAACAGCACAGGCAACCACAAAAGCAAUCAAUCAAAUUGAAGUUGAGUUCGCAAAAUGUGAUUGCUGUGGCCUAACUGAAGAAUGCACGCCAGAAUACAUCCAAACAAUUCGCCAAAGUUAUCAAGGGAAAUGGAUUUGUGGGCUGUGUGCAGAGGUCAUAAAAGAUGAAAUUUUAAGAACAGAAAGACUUAUUAGCACUGAAGAAGCAAUGACUAAGCACAUGGAUUACUGCAAAACAUUUAGAUCUUCUAGACCGCCACCAGAUCCCGCAAUUCAUUUGAUUUCUGUAUUGAGACAAAUUCUUAGAAGAAGCUUGGAUUCCCUUAGAAGAUUAAGAUCAACUCCCUCUAGUCCUAAUGAAGUUGAUGAAAUUUGCAGUCCAGGAUUCACUAGUUCUGAAAGUUGUUUCCCUACAUUGUCUGGUUGAUGUAGGUUUAGAUUAUGGACUUGAAAAAAAUAAAAAUGGAGGUGAACGGGGGGAAGACCACAAUUCAAUUGAUGCAAAAAUAAAAGAAAAACAGAAGGGUUAAGCUUAGAUUUAUCAUAUCUAAUGUUCAAUGUAGUUAUCAAUCUUAAAUAGAAAACUUUCUUUUCCUCUUGUUAGCAACAUCAA